rnacentral:misc_RNA from 1 species
GGACCUUGUGCCUAACAGCUCAACUACUAAACUGCUUGCUUCUUUCUUUGUUUUCUCCGGAAUGGCACUUGUUGGAAUGGUUCUAAGUAAAGGAGCAGACUACCUAGUGGAGAAACAGGAAACACUAUUAAUCAAAGCAUUGCAUAUGCGUGAUAAAGUUGGCCCAAGUGUUAUUCUAGAGGAAGUUGAAACCAACAAAGUAAGGUACAAGUGCUUCGUCAUAACAGCCACUCUUGUGGUGCUAAUAGUUGUUGGAACGGUGUUCCUUGCCGAGGUAGAAAAGUUAAGUACCAUUGAUGCCUUUUAUUGUGUCUGCUCUACCAUCACAACACUAGGAUAUGGAGACAAAAGUUUCUCAACUAAAGUGGGGCGUAUUUUUGCUAUAUUCUGGAUUUUGACCAGCACCAUUUGUUUGGCUCAGUUCUUCCUUUAUGUAGCUGAAUUUAACACAGAAAGGAAACAGAAGGAGCUGGUGCAAUGGGUUCUUUCGAGAAAGAUGACAAAUGUGGACUUGGAAGUAGCUGAUCUUGAUAACGAUAGGGUUGUAGGGGCUGCUGAAUUUGUGGUUUAUAA